rnacentral:lncRNA from 1 species
UUCGUCUCUAAAUCUGAAUAGUGAAGCUUGAACUCAAGAAAAGCCGAUCCUGACAUCUUGCCCUCCGGCUUCUUCCUAAUAGCAUUCCUACGAAAUUGACACCGAUUCACAAGCUAAAAAGAUUUUUAUAAAAAAUGGUUACUCACAUCCCCAAAAUGGUGGCGGAGGCGGAGGUGUGUGUGGGUGUGAUUGGUGGCUGCUCCAGCGGUCCAGCCUCCGCCGACGGCGGGCGCGCUGACCUGCUUUGCCGGGGACGGGGCGUGGAGCGGCUAGGCCAGCGGCGGGGAGAGGGAGGUGGCAGCCUCCACGACGCUGUCCUUCGUCCUCACAGCCCUGCAGAGACUCCUGCCCGGCCACGUGGG